CGUGUGUGUGUGUGACGCUCGAUCCCUCAGAUUAUCUUUUUUUAUUCGCUCGGCAUUCUCUUCAUCAUUAUUCAAACCUUCAUUGUUCUCAGCUGGCACUGAAGGAUCACAGCAUGCAGCAGAGACUCCAGAUCAACAGUUUACUGAAGCAAAGCGUUCUGACUCAUGAGACGGAGAGGAGUCCAUUCUUGUGACUGUGAUGGAGGAGUGUCCUCCUUUUCACUCUGAACUCCUGACCAACUUCAGGUGACCAUCAGCAGCCGUGAAGCGAGCAGAUCUGACUUCCUGUCAAACUUCAGGUGACCGUCAGCGGCCGUGAAGCGAGCAGAUCUGACUUCCUGGCAAAUUUCAGGUGACCAUCAGCAGCCGUGAAGCGAGCAGAUCUGACUUCCUGUCAAACUUCAGGGACUCCUCAGCAAACCAGACAGCUCAUAAGGUUUCGGUCUGCAAAUGAGCAACGUUUCCUGAGGUCGAAGAGCGCUGCUAGACCACUUUGGGAGACGUUGAUCAAAGAACUGGCCAUUGAGGGCAAGAUCACACCCCAAGAGGUGUCAAAGAAGUGGGAAAACCUCAAGAAAAAGUACAAGGUAAGCAGAACGACAAGUAGUG